AACAAAUAUUACUUUUUAAUUAAUCAAGACUGUCGUUGGUAAUUAAAUCUCUAUUACGGCAUUUUCUGUUGAUUAUUGGUGUCUUUUGUGGAAAGGCUGGUGCAAGCUUUUAAUGGAGUUUAGUGCAUCUGCAUGGAGUUGGUUCAUUUAAUGGAGUUGGUCUAUAUGCAUGCCUUGAGUCCUUUCAGCUGCAUGAUGACAAUUAUCCAUUACCAUCAUCUUUUAAUCUCACUUGUAACAUCUUUUUGAUGUCUCUUGGUACCCUCCUUCAUUCUUCUCUUAUUUUUCAACCUCUUUAAGCGUGCUCCAACGGAUUCAGAUGAUGAAGCAUUGUACCAGCAUCUAACUGCUGAUUCCCGACAGACAGAACCCGUUAAGCCAUUUGUUGCCAAUGUUCUGAAGAAUGAUUCCAAAGGCGAUGCCAGGCAGGUAGACUCUGUUCGAAGCAAUACCAAUAAUUAUGGUGCCAUUGUCUCCACAGACACAGGAAACUUGAUUGACGGAUGAUCUCCACAAUGACAUUUACAUGGAACUGAUCUUUUAUUCUUUCUGUUUCUCAUUUCUAAGUUCUAUUUCUAACUUUUUUUUUUUUUUUUUGGUGUGAAU
rnacentral:lncRNA from 1 species